CACGCAGGCGGUUAGAUAAGUCAGAUGUGAAAUCCCCGGGCUCAACCUGGGAACUGCAUUUGAAACUGUCUGACUAGAGUCUUGUAGAGGGGGUAGAAUUCCAGGUGUAGCGGUGAAAUGCGUAGAGAUCUGGAGGAAUACCGGUGGCGAAGGCGGCCCCCUGGACAAAGACUGACGCUCAGGUGCGAAAGCGUGGGAAGCAAACA
rnacentral:rRNA from 1 species